UACGGGGGGGGCAAGCGUUGUUCGGAAUUACUGGGCGUAAAGGGCUCGUAGGCGGCCAACUAAGUCGGACGUGAAAUCCCUCGGCUUAACCGGGGAAGUGCGUCCGAUACUGGAUGGCUUGAGUUCGGGAGAGGGAUGCGGAAUUCCAGGUGUAGCGGUGAAAUGCGUAGAUAUCUGGAGGAACACCGGUGGCGAAGGCGGCAUCCUGGACCGACACUGACGCUGAGGAGCGAAAGCCAGGGGAGCAAACGGG
rnacentral:rRNA from 1 species